rnacentral:rRNA from 1 species
AACGCUAGCUACAGGCUUAACACAUGCAAGUCGAGGGGAAACGAUAUUGGAAGCUUGCUUCCGAUAGGCGUCGACCGGCGCACGGGUGAGUAACGCGUAUCCAACCUGCCCACCACUUGGGGAUAACCUUGCGAAAGUAAGACUAAUACCCGAUGAUAUCUCUAGACGACAUCUGAAAGGGAUUAAAGAUUUAUCGGUGAUGGAUGGGGAUGCGUCUGAUUAGCUUGUUGGCGGGGUAACGGCCCACCAAGGCAACGAUCAGUAGGGGUUCUGAGAGGAAGGUCCCCCACAUUGGAACUGAGACACGGUCCAAACUCCUACGGGAGGCAGCAGUGAGGAAUAUUGGUCAAUGGGCGAGAGCCUGAACCAGCCAAGUAGCGUGCAGGACGACGGCCCUAUGGGUUGUAAACUGCUUUUAUAAGGGAAUAAAGUGAGUCUCGUGACUCUUUUUGCAUGUACCUUAUGAAUAAGGACCGGCUAAUUCCGUGCCAGCAGCCGCGGUAAUACGGAAGGUCCGGGCGUUAUCCGGAUUUAUUGGGUUUAAAGGGAGCGUAGGCCGGAGAUUAAGCGUGUUGUGAAAUGUAGACGCUCAACGUCUGCACUGCAGCGCGAACUGGUUUCCUUGAGUACGCACAAAGUGGGCGGAAUUCGUGGUGUAGCGGUGAAAUGCUUAGAUAUCACGAAGAACUCCGAUUG